rnacentral:rRNA from 1 species
GCUUGUCUCAAGACUAAGCCAUGCAUGUGCAAGUAUAAACGCUUGAACGGUGAGACUGCGAAUGGCUCAUUAAAUCAGUUAUAGUUUAUUUGAUGGUGACUGACUACGUGGAUAACCGUGGUAAUUCUAGAGCUAAUACAUGCAAAAAGUCCCGACUCUCUCGGGAAGGGGCGUAUUUAUUAGAUCCAAAACCAACUCGGGUCGUGCUCGGCUCGGCCCGGCAGUUUUCGGUGAUUCAUAGUAACUGGUCGAAUCGCAGGGCCUUGGAGCCGGCGAUGGUUCAUUCAAGUUUCUGCCCUAUCAACUUUCGAUGGUAGGGUAUUGGCCUACCAUGGUCGCAACGGGUGACGGAGAAUUAGGGUUCGAUUCCGGAGAGGGAGCCUGAGAAACGGCUACCACAUCCAAGGAAGGCAGCAGGCGCGCAAAUUACCCAAUCCCGACUCGGGGAGGUAGUGACAAUAAAUAACAAUGCCGGUCCCCAAAGUGGUCCGGCAAUUGGAAUGAGAACAAUCCAAACCCCUUAACGAGGAACAAUUGGAGGGCAAGUCUGGUGCCAGCAGCCGCGGUAAUUCCAGCUCCAAUAGCGUAUAUUAAAGUUGUUGCAGUUAAAAAGCUCGUAGUUGGAUUUCGGGGCCCGUUGGUCCGUUCGGUGUUGGGUCCUGGCGACCUUGUGGAAGCUUGGUUCCUCGCCGGCGGGCUGCGCUCGGCCGGUGCGGUCCGCCAARAGGCAAGNACUGCCCGGCGGYUCCCCAGUCUCUCGAAGUCUCCGUCUGCUCUUGACUGCASCGGUCGGGGGAUUCGGGACGUUUACUUUGAACAAAUUAGAGUGUUCCAAGCAGGCCGGUCGCUUUGAAUACGUUAGCAUGGAAUAAUGGAAUAGGGCUGGUUGUCCUAUUUUGUUGGUUUUCGGGACGGCAGUCAUGGUCGAUAGGGACGAUUGGGGGCGUUCGUAUUCAGUUGUCAGAGGUGAAAUUCUCGGAUUUACGGAAGACGUGCUGGUGCGAAAGCGUUCGUCACGUGCGUUUUCAUUAAUCAAGAACGAAAGUUGGGGGU